rnacentral:rRNA from 1 species
UACGAAGGGGGGCUAGCGUUGUUCGGAAUUACUGGGCGUAAAGCGUGCGCAGGCGGCUUCUCAAGUCAGGGGUGAAAGCCCAGAGCUCAACUCUGGAAUUGCCUUUGAGACUGAGAGGCUUGAGUACGGGAGAGGUGAGUGGAAUUCCCAGUGUAGAGGUGAAAUGCGCAGAUAUCGGGAGGAACACCAAUGGCGAAGGGCAGCUCGCUGGGACGGUACUGACGCUGAGACGCGAAAGCGUGGGGAGCAAAACAGG